rnacentral:rRNA from 1 species
UACGAAAGGUGCAAGCGUUACUCGGAAUCACUGGGCGUAAAGCGCACGUAGGCGGACUUACAGGUCAAUUGUGAAAUACCUGGGCUCAACCCGGGAACUGCAGUUGAAACCGUUUGUCUUGAAUACCUGAGAGGGUGGGGGAAUACCUGGUGGAGAAGUGAAAUUCGUAGAGAUCAGGUGGAACACCGGAGGCGAGGGCGCCUGCCUGGCAGUGUAUUGACGCUGAGGUGCGAAAGUGCGGGGAGCAAACGGG